GUUGUAUAGUCAAGUAAUUAAGUGCAUGUGGUGGAUGCCUUGGCAGUCAGAGGCGAAGAAAGACGUGAUAGCCUGCGAAAAGCUCCGGGGAGGCGGCAAAUAUCCUUUGAUCCGGAGAUUUCUGAAUGGGGAAACCCACCUACCUUAAGGUAGGUAUCGUAUGAUGAAUACAUAGUCAUACGAAGCGAACGCGGGGAAGUGAAACAUCUCAGUACCCG
rnacentral:rRNA from 1 species